rnacentral:rRNA from 1 species
AGGGAAUAUUGCAAAAUGGGCGAAAGCCCGAUGCAGCAACGCCGCGUGGGCGAUGAAGGCCUUCGGGUCGUAAAGCCCUUUUUGAGGGGAUGAGGAAGGACAGUACCCUCAGAAUAAGCCUCGGCUAACUACGUGCCAGCAGCCGCGGUAAAACGUAGGAGGCGAGCGUUAUCCGGAUUUACUGGGCGUAAAGCGCGUGCAGGCGGAUUGGAGAGUUGGAUGUGAAAGCUCCCGGCUUAACUGGGAGAGGUCGUUCAAUACUUCCAGUCUUGAGUGCAGUAGAGGGAAGUGGAAUUCCGGGUGUAGUGGUGAAAUGCGUAGAUAUCCGGAGGAACACCAGUGGCGAAAGCGGCUUCCUGGACUGUAACUGACGCUCAGACGCGAAAGCUAGGGUAGCAAACA